GACGAACGUUGGCGGCGUGCCUAAUACAUGCAAGUCAACUGAAAUACCGGUAGCAAUACUGGUAUGGAGGUGGCGCACGGGUGAGUAACACGUAGGUAAUCUGCCUUCAGGUCUGACAUAACCCAUCGAAAGGUGAGCUAAUAUCAGAUGAUGCAGCGGCUUGACAUCAAGACAGUUGUUAAAGCUUCGGCGCCUGAAGAUGAGCCUGCGUCUGAUUAGCUAGUUGGCGGGUAACGCCCACCAAGGCUGCGAUCAGUAGCUGGUCUGAGAGGAUGAUCAGUCACACUGGAACUGAGACACGGUCCAGACUCCUACGGGAGCAGCAGUAAGAUAUGCUCAAUGCCGAAGCUGAAGCAGCAACGCCGCGUGAGGGAUGAAGGGUCUUUUGC
rnacentral:rRNA from 1 species